AGAGUUUGAUCCUGGCUCAGGACGAACGCUGGCGGCGUGCUUAACACAUGCAAGUCGAACGAGAAUCUUGAGAAUGAUCCCUUCGGGGUGAUUUCUUAAGAGGAAAGUGGCGAACGGGCGAGUAACGCGUGAGUAACCUGCCCAUAAGAGGGGGAUAAUCCUUGGAAACGAGGACUAAUACCGCAUAUUGUAAUUUUACCGCAUGGUGAGAUUAUGAAAGAUUUAUCGCUUAUGGAUGGACUCGCGUCAGAUUAGCUAGUUGGUGAGGUAACGGCUCACCAAGGCGACGAUCUGUAGCCGAACUGAGAGGUUGAUCGGCCGCAUUGGGACUGAGACACGGCCCAGACUCCUACGGGAGGCAGCAGUGGGGAAUAUUGCGCAAUGGGGGCAACCCUGACGCAGCAACGCCGCGUGCAGGAAGAAGGUCUUCGGAUUGUAAACUGUUGUCGCAAGGGAAGAAGACAGUGACGGUACCUUGUGAGAAAGUCACGGCUAACUACGUGCCAGCAGCCGCGGUAAUACGUAGGUGACAAGCGUUGUCCGGAAUUACUGGGUGUAAAGGGAGCGCAGGCGGGACUGCAAGUUGGAUGUGAAAUACCGGGGCUCAACCCCGGGGCUGCAUCCAAAACUGUAGUUCUUGAGUGAAGUAGAGGUAGGCGGAAUUCCGAGUGUAGCGGUGAAAUGCGUAGAUAUUCGGAGGAACACCAGUGGCGAAGGCGGCCUACUGGGCUUUAACUGACGCUGAGGCUCGAAAGUGUGGGGAGCAAACAGGAUUAGAUACCCUGGUAGUCCACACUGUAAACGAUGAUAGCUAGGUGUGGGGGGUCUGACCCCUUCCGUGCCGGAGUUAACGCAAUAAGCUAUCCACCUGGGGAGUACGGCCGCAAGGUUGAAACUCAAAGGAAUUGACGGGGGCCCGCACAAGCAGUGGAUUAUGUGGUUUAAUUCGAAGCAACGCGAAGAACCUUACCAGGGCUUGACAUAUGCAGGAAUAUUUAAGAGAUUAAAUAGCUCUUCGGAGUCUGCAUACAGGUGGUGCAUGGUUGUCGUCAGCUCGUGUCGUGAGAUGUUGGGUUAAGUCCCGCAACGAGCGCAACCCCUGUUUUCAGUUACCAGCAAGUAAAGUUGGGGACUCUGGAAAGACUGCCGGUGAUAAAUCGGAGGAAGGUGGGGACGACGUCAAAUCAUCAUGCCCUUUAUGUCCUGGGCUACACACGUACUACAAUGGCUAUAACAAAGAGAAGCGAAACAGUGAUGUAGAGCAAAACUCAAAAAAGUAGUCUCAGUUCGGAUUGUAGGCUGAAAUUCGCCUACAUGAAGCUGGAAUUGCUAGUAAUGGCAGGUCAGCAUACUGCCGUGAAUACGUUCCCGGGCCUUGUACACACCGCCCGU
rnacentral:rRNA from 1 species